rnacentral:lncRNA from 1 species
GUUUAAAAAGGAAAAAGCGAGGAGGAGGAGGAGGGCUUGACGUGUAUUUUUAGUCGCUUAGCGCAGCCCUGAAGUAUUUCGGCAGCCACUCCCUCCGGCUGCUCUGUGACUAUUCCUGCGCUGCCUCCCCGGCCCCGCGCACCGGGGCUGAGUCACGGCCCCGCACGCCUGCGCCCCGCCGAAAACGGGGAAGGGGAAAUUUGGGGAGCGGGAUGGGGCUGCAGGAGGGCUGCGGGGUGGCCGCCGGCCCAGCAGGAGCCCCAGACCUUUUUCCCUUCCCCUGCCGUUGCUUUUAUCUCGCCCCCGGUUUAUUUUUCGCCCCCCCUCCGCUGCGGGGCAGGAUCGGAGCUCCGGGGUUUGUUCGUCGUGGGGCAGCCUCAGACGGGGCUUUUUUUUGGGGCAGGAAAGGGGUUUCGAGGGGUUUGCCUGAAGCCGCAGGGGAGCUCUGUGCUGACGGAAGGGCGGGAUGCUGCUCUCCAAAGGGCUCCCUCUCUGACCCAGCCCAAAAUAUCCCCACGGAGGUGGGAAAAGGCAGCGGGGAGCAAGGAGGGAAGGCGGCCGAGGCCUACGGGGGCGAUUAAAGGCGAGCACAACUUCACGAGCUCCAGGGCCAGGGCUUCGGCAGGAGAUAAGGAGCACUCGGAGGGCUCUACCCUGAGCCCGAGCCAAGGGUCCCAUUGUUCUGGCGGGCUUUAUCUGGCCCCACCAGACCUCAAAUCCAGACGGCCCCGCGCUCGUUUCCUUUUUCACCGGGGCAGCCGCAACGCUGCGGGCUUGCUGUGGCUGGAGGCAGAGGCUAGAAAGGGAGGGAGCAGGUUGGGAAGGGAAAGUCUGACGCAGGGCCCGGCCUCCGCUCAAAUGCCACACGGGGGUUUGCUCCGAGAGCGAGUUUCCAGGAGGGAGGACACGCGUGCCCUGCUCCCACCGCCCGGGGUUCGCCGCUUGGCAGGAGCCCGGGACGCGGAUCCAGCGCUGACGCACACGCCUCGCCGGGGAGAGGCAGCCGGGGAGCACGCGGCUGGUAAAAAGCAACGUUUUAGCCCAAUUCCUCGGGUAUUUAUUUACACGAGGGCCGGAGCGAGGGUUAGCAAGGAGCUGGGGGAAUCGCCCGCGGGGCCGAGCGCUGUCGCAGACACGGAGGGAGGCGUUUUCUACAGUGGUGAUGGCAGAGAGUAG